AGUAUCUGCAAAAUUAAAGUGCAUUAAUAUAUUACAAGAUAAUAGCACAUGUCAAGGAGGAACCAUAGAAACCAACAAGUGCUUCCCAGGAGGAAGAAGAGGCAUGAAAAGACCUACUAUAUCACAAGUGGGCAAAAUUCGUCAGAGCAAGACAAGUUAUUCUUUUUGCAUGCAGAAUGAAGAUGUAGGCAAAGAAGCAGCAAAUGUUUAAAACUUUUACGUUCACAGUGCCCUCUACUGGCUGUUCC